rnacentral:lncRNA from 1 species
UGAAUAUACUUCCAAGAAGCUAAACAACUUUCUCAAUCAUAUGACAGGCUUAUGACACAGCCACAUGAAUAACCAUCUGAGCUGAUUAGUAUCUGAGGCAGAGUAUAUUUGGAUCUAUAACUUAUUUAUUGAUGCAUCCAACCAAGGCUUUUUUUCAAUUGUCUGCGUUAUUAGCUUUGUUUUGUGCAUGUUGUAGAUUAUCCUUGAUGG